rnacentral:rRNA from 1 species
GAUGAACGUUGGCGGUACGCCUAAUACAUGCAAGUCGAACGGAGAUUGUAGCAAUACUGUCUUAGUGGCGAACGGGUGAGUAACGCGUUGGUGAUCUGCCUCGAAGUGUGGAAUAACGGUUCGAAAGAACCGCUAAUACCGCAUAGUCUCUCUUAUUUUAGAAAUUUGAGAGUAAAGGAGUAAUCCGCUUUGAGAGGAGCCUGCGUCCCAUCAGCUAGUUGGUAGGGUAAAAGCCUACCAAGGCUAUGACGGGUAGGGGACCUGAGAGGGUGACCCCCCACAAUGGAACUGAAACACGGUCCAUACACCUACGGGUGGCAGCAGUAGGGAAUAUUAGUAAUGGAGGAAACUCUGAACUAGCGAUACCGCGUGUGCGAAGAAGGCCUUCGGGUUGUAAAGCACUUUUUGAGAGGAUGAGGAAGGACGGUACUCUCAGAAUAAGUCUCGGCUAACUACGUG